GUCUACAGCCAUUACUACCCUGAACAUGCCCGAUCUUAUCUGAUCUUGGAAGCUAAGCAGGGUCAAGCCUGCUUAGUACUUAGAUGAGAGACCAGUGAAGUCAUCUGUACUUAGUAU
rnacentral:rRNA from 1 species